rnacentral:rRNA from 1 species
GCUUGUCUCAAAGAUUAAGCCAUGCAUGUCUAAGUAUAAACUAUUUUAUACUGUGAAACUGCGAAUGGCUCAUUAAAUCAGUUAUAGUUUAUUUGAUGGUACCUUACUACUCGGAUAACCGUAGUAAUUCUAGAGCUAAUACAUGCGUCAAUACCCUUCUGGGGUAGUAUUUAUUAGAUUGAAACCAACCGCUUCGGCGUGAUGUGGUGAUUCAUAAUAAAUUUGCGAAUCGCAUGGCUUUACGCCGGCGAUGGAUCAUUCAAAUUUCUGCCCUAUCAGCUUUCGACGGUAGUGUAGUGGACUACCGUGGCGUUAACGGGUAACGGAGAAUUAGGGUUCGAUUCCGGAGAGGGAGCCUGAGAAACGGCUACCACAUCCAAGGAAGGCAGCAGG